GAUGAACGCUGGCGGCGUGCUUAACACAUGCAAGUCGAACGUGAGAGGAUAGCAAUAUUCUUGAAAGUGGCAGACGGGUGAGUAAUACAUAGGUAACCUACCUCAAUGUUGGGGAUAACCUUCCGAAAGGAGGGCUAAUACCGAAUAAGACCACAGGAACUACGGUUCCAGGGGUUAAAGGCGGCUUCGGCUGUCGCAAUGAGAUGGGCUUAUGCAGCAUCAGCUAGUUGUAAGGUAAUGGCUUACCAAGGCUUGACGCUUAACUGAUCUGAGAGGUUGAUCAGUCACACUGGAACUGAGACACGGUCCAGACUCCUACGGGAGGCAGCAGUGGGGAAUAUUGGACAAUGGGCGCAAGCCUGAUCCAGCCAUGCCGCGUGAGUGAUGAAGGCCUUAGGGUUGUAAAGCUCUUUCAGUGGGGACGAUAAUGACGGUACCCACAGAAGAAGCCCCGGCUAACUUCGUGCCAGCAGCCGCGGUAAU
rnacentral:rRNA from 1 species